CCUACGGGGGGCAGCAGUAGGGAAUAUUGCUCAAUGGGGGAAACCCUGAAGCAGCAACGCCGCGUGGAGGAUGAAGGUUUUCGGAUUGUAAACUCCUUUUGUUAGAGAAGAUAAUGACGGUAUCUAACGAAUAAGCACCGGCUAACUCCGUGCCAGCAGCCGCGGUAAUACGGAGGGUGCAAGCGUUAUUCGGAAUUACUGGGGGUAAAGAGCGCGUAGGAGGGAUAGCAAGUCAGAUGUGAAAUCCUAGGGCUUAACCAUAGAACUGCAUUUGAAACUGUUAUUCUUGAGUAUGGGAGAGGUAGGUGGAAUUCUGGGUGUAGCGGUGAAAUCCGUAGAGAUCAAGAGGAAUACUCAUUGCGAAGGCGACCUGCUAGAACAUAACUGACGCUGAUGCGCGAAAGCGUGGGGAGCAAACAGGAUUAGAUACCCCUGUAGUC
rnacentral:rRNA from 1 species